AUGAACGCUAGCUACAGGCUUAACACAUGCAAGUCGAGGGGAAACGACAUCGAAAGCUUGCUUUUGAUGGGCGUCGACCGGCGCACGGGUGAGUAACGCGUAUCCAACCUGCCCACCACUUGGGGAUAACCUUGCGAAAGUAAGACUAAUACCCAAUGACGUCUCUAGAAGACAUCUGAAAGAGAUUAAAGAUUUAUCGGUGAUGGAUGGGGAUGCGUCUGAUUAGCUUGUUGGCGGGGUAACGGCCCACCAAGGCGACGAUCAGUAGGGGUUCUGAGAGGAAGGUCCCCCACAUUGGAACUGAGACACGGUCCAAACUCCUACGGGAGGCAGCAGUGAGGAAUAUUGGUCAAUGGACGAGAGUCUGAACCAGCCAAGUAGCGUGCAGGAAGACGGCCCUAUGGGUUGUAAACUGCUUUUAUAAGGGAAUAAAGUGAGAGUCGUGACUCUUUUUGCAUGUACCUUAUGAAUAAGGACCGGCUAAUUCCGUGCCAGCAGCCGCGGUAAUACGGAAGGUCCGGGCGUUAUCCGGAUUUAUUGGGUUUAAAGGGAGCGUAGGCCGGAGAUUAAGCGUGUUGUGAAAUGUAGACGCUCAACGUCUGCACUGCAGCGCGAACUGGUUUCCUUGAGUACGCACAAAGUGGGCGGAAUUCGUGGUGUAGCGGUGAAAUGCUUAGAUAUCACGAAGAACUCCGAUUGCGAAGGCAGCUCACUGGAGCGCAACUGACGCUGAAGCUCGAAAGUGCGGGUAUCGAACAGGAUUAGAUACCCUGGUAGUCCGCACGGUAAACGAUGGAUGCCCGCUGUUGGCCUGAAUAGGUCAGCGGCCAAGCGAAAGCAUUAAGCAUCCCACCUGGGGAGUACGCCGGCAACGGUGAAACUCAAAGGAAUUGACGGGGGCCCGCACAAGCAGUGGAUUAUGUGGUUUAAUUCGAAGCAACGCGAAGAACCUUACCAGGUCUUGACAUCGAUCUAAAAGGGAUGGAGACAUCCUCAUAGCUAUAGAGAAGACAGGUGGUGCAUGGUUGUCGUCAGCUCGUGCCGUGAGGUGUCGGCUUAAGUGCCAUAACGAGCGCAACCCCUCUCCUUAGUUGCCAUCAGGUCAUGCUGGGCACUCUGGGGACACUGCCACCGUAAGGUGUGAGGAAGGUGGGGAUGACGUCAAAUCAGCACGGCCCUUACGUCCGGGGCUACACACGUGUUACAAUGGCAGGUACAGAGAGACGGUCCCUUGCAAAACGGAUCAAAUCCUUAAAGCCUGUCUCAGUUCGGACUGGGGUCUGCAACCCGACCCCACGAAGCUGGAUUCGCUAGUAAUCGCGCAUCAGCCAUGGCGCGGUGAAUACGUUCCCGGGCCUUGUACACACCGCCCGUCAAGCCAUGGAAGCCGCGGGCGCCUGAAGUCCGUGACCGGAAGGAGCGGCCUAGGGCGAAAGUGGUAACUGGGGCU
rnacentral:rRNA from 1 species